GUUUUUGCCGAUGCUAGUUUAUUCGAGUCUUGAUAAGUACAUAGCUUGCCUAUGGAAUUUACAUUUUUUGCCCAAUCCUGUCAAUUUUUCACUCCAAAUGAAAUUCAUAUUCAGUUAUGAAGGCGAAUCAGAUUGAAAGACAAGUCUCAUAAUGCUAUAAGUUCUGCAAUUUGUUAUACUUUCAUUGGCAACUGUAUUAAUAUUUUGGAUAUCUGCCAUGG
rnacentral:misc_RNA from 1 species